UCUUCGCAUUUGAAAUGUGUUUCACUUUGAAAGAUAGAUUUAAGGUAAAAUGAUUUUAGCAAACACGCUAUGGCGAUGGAUUCUGGUUGGCUUCUUGACAUGGAAUGCUAAGUUCUCUUAGCUGAACCCUCGUUGCUAUUUCUUAAUAUUAAGCAUUAUAUAAAUGCGCAAAUCACUCUUUUUGUGCGGUUCCAAAAAUGAAUUCUGUGUGGCAUAAUGGCAAUUCUUCAAAUUAGUUAUUCUAUACAACCAUCAAAGCACACAUUUCUCUAGAAGGAUCAAUUUUACUAUUUGUGUUUGAGAAUUUUGGAUGCUGAUGGGUCAAAAAUGAUGGACUUGUAGCAAUUGGUGAUACUUGAUUGCAUAGCCAAUUUUCCUAAAGUUUCCAUUUGUCUGCACCAUUACUGUGCAACUGAGGUCCAUUAAUUUUUUUUCAAGCAUAUGAUGAAUUAUGCUUCUUCUAUAGCUUGCAUUGUCGAAGAAGAGUUGUUUCCAUCCAACUAGAAAGCAAGUUCUUCUAAUGUUAUAGCUAUAAAUCGGGCCAAGUCGUGACUCGACGCAGAUUGAUUUGGUCAUGCCCGUGACAGAAUAUGUCUUGUCAUGUUGAACUCAAUCCGGCUAAGUUGAGUAGGGUGGUUAUUGGCUUGGCUCGUGAGUCGGGUGCAAUUUACUUGCUUGACCCAAGAAUUUCAAAACAAAAAAAAAAAUAGAAAACAAAAAAUACUUAAAAUAAAUUAUUUAUUUAAAAUAUUUUUUAUAUUUCUUUGUUUUUUAAAAUUUUCUCAUAUAUUUUUAAUAUUUUAUUUUUAACAAAUAUUAUGUUUAGUGGGCUUAGGUUUGUGUUGGGCAACCCUUGCUAAUAUUAGAGCUUGUGCCGGACACAACUGGUGAUAAAAAACCAUAUCAUGUCCAAUCUGUCUUGCAUGGUAUGUAAACAGGCCUUGGGCUUAUGCCUUGCUCGCCUUGAUUGAUCGUUUUGACACCUCUAUCUAAUCAACUCGCCAAUGUGCAUAGUUUUGGUUAGAACUUCAUGCAUUGGGAAGAAGGUUGCUGUCACUAGAUUGAGAAUGGUUAAUGCUAACUUGUUGCGGGUUCUCUUGAACUUGAAGUCAAUUUUCCUAGCUCACUCUAAUUCUUAUAUACACUAAUCUAAACUUUUUCGUUGAUAUGCAUCCUUUGCUGCAAUCAUCUAAAAUUUUCUCGUGUCACUAUAAUGAUUUAGAUCACACAUUUUGAAUUAUUUAUUCACACAAAUAUGUUGGUUCGCUAGAUCACACUACUUGUGCUCAAACUCAAUUGUUGUUGUGCAACUUGCACAUGGAUUGACCCUCCUACUUGGCAGUAAAAGUGGAGGGAGACUUCUUAUGCAGCAGUAACUUAAGUAUGUGACUUAACGAUGCCGAUGUAUGAAUUGUAAAAAUUCACUAGCAAAGUGUUACAUUGAACCAUGUGUGCCAUGCACUUUAAGUCUCAUUUGCUAAGUGUUCUUGUAAGUGCCACAUGGAUGCCAUGACAUGCUUAACAUGUGUCCGUGGGCACUAUGCUACUCGUGUGUUGCACUUGACUUGGAUUGUCAUAUGCUUUAUUCAUGAGUAUGCGUUACACAUGACUCUACUAUGAAAACACAUGGUGCCCCCUCCAACUCCACCUUUUAAUGAAGACAUGAUUUUAUGAAAGGAUUCAUAUUUAACUGUCUGAAUCUUCUUCCAAAUUUUAGGUACGACACUAAUGUUCCCUAUGAACUCUAAUAGCUUUCUUCUUCUUUCACCAUGUUUUGAAAGCUAUUCUGGAAUCCCUCUUUAUUUUGAAAGAUUCUAACAAUUUGAGGUUAAUGAUAAUAAGUAAUUUGAUUUACUUGAUCACGUCUCAGUGAUGUUUUCAGCUAAGAUAUUAUAUUUCUGAUUGCAAGUUUAUCUCUUUUUAGUUAUUUUUGUCUGCCAAUUAUCAUCAUGAAAUCAAUCAUGUGGGUCUUUGAUGUACUUUUUGAAAAAUGCUCGUACAAAGGAUUACAAUUUUGCAUAGAGUAAUCUGCAGAAAAAUAAUUUUUUACAGUUUGUGAUAAUUUCUGCUAUUUCUUCUGGGGUUUCUUUGAUGAAAAAUUACGAACAAGUUAGAAGAAUUAUGAAGACCACACAAUCCAUGCGUCUUUAUAUGUUAGACACUUUCAGCGAUCCAUUCAAAGAGGGUUAGAUAAUGGUGGACUGAUGGGUUGCUGAUCAAUUCUGUGAUUAUUGCACAGAUACUUCAAAGGAAGGUUGCUGCAUGGGAGAACAUCAGUGUUGAUGGCAUAGAUUGAACAUUCAGCAGUUAAAUAAAAUUGAUUGCUGUUGGUGCAACUUAAGAUAAUAUCAAGGAAUCUACUGGGUAGAAGACUAGCUAUUAAGAGUGUGGUGAAGAAAUAGAUGAUCGUUAAGUGAUUUGGAAAAGGAUAUUAAGAAUAGUAAAGAUGGAGAGUCUGAUUAUGAACCAGCAAGGGAUUCACUUUCAUCUCAAGGAGAAACUGCAACUAAUGAUGACAACAAGGUAAAAAAGCGUCAAGGGUUCCAAAGAAGCUUUCAAAAAGAGAACCUUCUGAGAAUAGUACUCACACCUUGAGAGGAAGUGCUAAUCGUUAAGGAGAUGGUAGACUAAUGUUCAAAACAUCAUGAGUCAAAAGAAGUCUCAAAAGCCUGUCAGAGAACCAAUAUCAAUGAAAACUCCUACCAAUAAAAGGGAGAAUAUAAUUGUUUCUUCCACCACUUCAUCAGAAGUGUCUGAAGAAACUGAGGACAAAACAAUUGAAGAGGUUAAGGAAAUAGAUGUGAUGGAUGAGGCUCCUGUGUGCAGUCAGAGUAAUCGUACAGCUGAUGAAACAGUUGAAGAGAAUGCCAUCAAUGAUGACAAGGUGAAUGCAUAUCAAAAGAUUGAGGAGAUAGAUUCCAGAGCGAAAAACUUGAGGAAGAACUCAGAGAAGUUGCUGCUCUUGAGACAACUCUCUAUUCUGUUGUACCAGAGCAUGGAAGUUCAGCACAUAAUGUUCACACUUCCACUUGGCGUCUUUGUAGGCUAUAUAUUCAUGCUUGCAAAUAUUGGACUCAGGACAAGAAGGCUACAAUUGCAAAAAAUACAGUGGCAGGACUUGUACAUAUUGCAAAACCCUGCGGUAAUGAUGUUUCAAGACAUUGGCACCCCACAUGCAAAUGCCAGUGGAGGACUUGUACACACCAAGAAUCUCAGGAAAAUUGCUAGGAUCAUCACUGGCUGAUCAGUAGCAAGGAAGUUUUUCUACCAAUUUAUGGAAAAGUGCAUUUCAUGAUGCUUUCAGUAGAAUAUGUCCAGUCCGUGCUGGAGGCCAUGAGUGUGGCUGCUUACCUGUAUUGGCGAGAACGGUAUGUUUAGCUAUCAUUCAUCAUCCAUUUGUCAUCAUCAUCAUUAAUAACAAAAGUUGUGCUGCCCAACUAUGUAGGAUCUUAGAUCUAUAGUUGUCAAAAUUGAUACGAGGAUCGCAAUUUGGCUGUAUAGGAUUUGAUAGGAUCCAUGAAAUCGGAACCAGUGAGGAAAUAAGAAAAUAAAAAAGCUAUAAUAAGAAGAAUACCUAAUAUGUGUCAUUACAUAUCUAAUUAUUUAAUAUACAAAUAAUGCAACAAUUUUAAUAAAAAUUAUUAAAUAAUAAAAAUAUAUUUCAACAAACAAUAAAAUUAUAAUUUUAAUAUAAAAAUAUCAAUAACAACUAACCUAUUAGUGUUAUUAUUUAAUGUUCUAUGUUAUAAGGGUUAGUCAAUUUUUAAUUAAGGACAAUUGUAGAAUAUUAUUGUAUUCUUUCUUGAUCCACAAUAACCUAUCUUGUUCUAAUUACCUUACUCGAUCGAUAGUAAGAGAAAGAAGUGUCGAGUCUAAAAGGUGAUGGGAAGGUUGGAUGAAUGAUCCUUGAUCUUGUAGUGAAUCUAAAGUUUGAUAUAGAUUACUAAUACUAAAUUGUUAGUGUUUAAUGUUGUAGUGGUUUAAAGUUUUAAUUAAGGAGGCACAAUUUUUGGAUUAUUGUAGAUUGAGAGAUAUUAUUAUGUUCUUUCUCCAUCCAUAAAAACCUAUCUUGUUUUGUAAACCUCCCUCGAUGAAUAGUAAACAAGAGACAGAAGGGUGAAGUGUUGCGUCCAAAAGGUGAUGGAAAGGUUGAACGAAUGAUCCUUGAACUUGUGGAGAAUCUAGAGGUGUGAAAAGGCUAAUCAACGAAGACUUUCUUCUUUCCAUGUGAGUUCUUUAUAAAUCAAGCUAAGAUUCAAGGGAAAGUUAGAUAAGUCAAGCCAUCUCAAUUUAUCCCGAUUCCAACUUGAUUGCGUCAGACCAAAUUUCAAUAGAUUCUAUCAAUCUUUUGAUGUAAUAUAACUGGUUUGUAGUUAAUUUUUUGAAUUCUCAAUGUUAGUAUCAGUUGAUUAGCCCUCCAUCAUGCUUUAUGUCAUUAUGUGAGGCUAUAUCACUAGUAAUAUUUCAAUCAAUUUUCUUAUAUAUUAAGUUUUAUUUGGCCUCUCUUUACACUUUUCACCACCCAUUCAAAUUUUCAACUAUUGAAUUGAUUGAUUAUUUUUGGACAUAUUUAUAAAAUCUCUUGGAGAGGUAUCUAAUUGCUCUUGGUUAUUUAUUUUUUUUAUCAUUCUUAGUAACGUGAGACAUCCGUUCUUAUAUUGCUGCUAACCCUUUUUUUCUUCUACAUGUUGCAUGGUCCAACACUCCAAUGUCUUUUUCAAAACACCUUAUAGAUUCCAGUUGUCAUGGUUCUUUUGUGUUUUGCCUUGAGUGAUUCUGGCAUCAGUUAUUCACUUUUGAACAAAUUUAUGGACGAUAAAUCUCUCGUAUCCCUAGGUGAUGGAGUUAUGCAUAUCCAGAUUAGAUGUUGCCAUGUUCAAUACCCAAGAGUCUAGCCAAUCCCAGCUGGGAAUUUAAGCUUUGGAUCCUGAUACGGCGAGUAUUAAAAGCUACCAUCGAUGCAAAAGGAGGUCAAAAUGGUAUGCUGAGUUAGGUCAAAGUCACUCAUACCAGAGUCGGCUGACAAUCUUCCAAAGUCGACCGUUCGACCAUCCGGUCGUCCGGCCAAUCGACUGAUCGAUCAAGCAGGCCAACCAGACUUCUUGGCUAAGUAGACCAGGACCGCCCAAACCAAGGCGGCUUGACCAGGGCUGCCUAGACCAGGGCCUCCCGACACUUCCAGAGCCGAGCCAAUCCAUUGAAAGCCCAUUAGACUGAUGGGCUUGUCACCCCUCUUUUUGUCUCAUCUACUGACAUUUAGAUAGAGGUAACAUGACCUCUAACAUAUUUGUCUGGAGGAGACCCUCUGACACUUAGACAAGGGUAUCAUGACCUCUAACAUCUUUUGUCUUGACAUGACCCUCCUAUAAAAAAAGUCCGUCCCGUGGAUAGGAGGGGAGAGAAAAAGGAAAAAAAAAAGGAGGCGAGAGGGGGAAAAAGGGAAAGAGACUCCUUACUGCAUACACUUAUUUUGUUAUUUAUUCUCUUGUACUAUUCAUUUUCUUGAUACAGGAGAUCAUCAGAAAGUGACUUGAGCGGUGACGACUAAUAUUACGACCUGCUCACUGAUCUACUAGAGGGUGUCCCCCGGGCUAGGGCACGUUUCUAAGGCGUAUUCUUCAUGCAUUUCGUUACUCUACCAUUGAACUUGCUCCUUGUAUAUUUUUGGGACCGACCUCGAGCAUCGGCAUGCAAGGCUGGGGCAAGCCCGGUUUGUUUGUAGAUUCUUCCAGCGACGAGGAUAGCUCACCCCCUCCUCUUGGUUUCUAGCUUAAAGUCUUCUCAUGGUCAACUCCAGCACCACAUUAUCGGCGGUCCACUCUUCUUAGCUUCGGACGGGAUUAGAUCCGCUGCACAACUAAAAAGUUCUUGCAGGUAGGAAAUUGGUCUGGAUGGUUAACAGAGGUACUUGGUUUGGAUGAUGAUGAUGAUUAACAGAAAGAUGACCGGGACACCAAUGAGAGUGAUAACGCUUACCUUCUUAAUCAAUGAUGGUUAACAGAGGUACUAGUUUUAGCCUUUCUGUAUGACUAGUUAUUUUGGCUAUGGAUUUUGCUGUGUCUUUUCAUU